AGGAUGAACGCUAGCGACAGGCUUAACACAUGCAAGUCGAGGGGCAGCACAGGUAGCAAUACCGGGUGGCGACCGGCGCACGGGUGAGUAACGCGUAUGCAACUUGCCUAUCAGAGGGGGAUAACCCGGCGAAAGUCGGACUAAUACCGCAUGAAGCAGGGGCCCCGCAUGGGGAUAUUUGCUAAAGAUUCAUCGCUGAUAGAUAGGCAUGCGUUCCAUUAGGCAGUUGGCGGGGUAACGGCCCACCAAACCGACGAUGGAUAGGGGUUCUGAGAGGAAGGUCCCCCACAUUGGUACUGAGACACGGACCAAACUCCUACGGGAGGCAGCAGUGAGGAAUAUUGGUCAAUGGCCGAGAGGCUGAACCAGCCAAGUCGCGUGAGGGAUGAAGGUUCUAUGGAUCGUAAACCUCUUUUAUAAGGGAAUAAAGUGCGGGACGUGUCCCGUUUUGUAUGUACCUUAUGAAUAAGGAUCGGCUAACUCCGUGCCAGCAGCCGCGGUAAUACGGAGGAUCCGAGCGUUAUCCGGAUUUAUUGGGUUUAAAGGGUGCGUAGGCGGCCUUUUAAGUCAGCGGUGAAAGUCUGUGGCUCAACCAUAGAAUUGCCGUUGAAACUGGGGGGCUUGAGUAUGUUUGAGGCAGGCGGAAUGCGUGGUGUAGCGGUGAAAUGCAUAGAUAUCACGCAGAACCCCGAUUGCGAAGGCAGCCUGCCAAGCCAUUACUGACGCUGAUGCACGAAAGCGUGGGGAUCAAACAGGAUUAGAUACCCUGGUAGUCCACGCAGUAAACGAUGAUCACUAGCUGUUUGCGAUACACUGUAAGCGGCACAGCGAAAGCGUUAAGUGAUCCACCUGGGGAGUACGCCGGCAACGGUGAAACUCAAAGGAAUUGACGGGGGCCCGCACAAGCGGAGGAACAUGUGGUUUAAUUCGAUGAUACGCGAGGAACCUUACCCGGGUUUGAACGCAUUCGGACCGAGGUGGAAACACCUUUUCUAGCAAUAGCCGUUUGCGAGGUGCUGCAUGGUUGUCGUCAGCUCGUGCCGUGAGGUGUCGGCUUAAGUGCCAUAACGAGCGCAACCCUUGCCACUAGUUACUAACAGGUAAAGCUGAGGACUCUGGUGGGACUGCCAGCGUAAGCUGCGAGGAAGGCGGGGAUGACGUCAAAUCAGCACGGCCCUUACAUCCGGGGCGACACACGUGUUACAAUGGCGUGGACAAAGGGAGGCCACCUGGCGACAGGGAGCGAAUCCCCAAACCACGUCUCAGUUCGGAUCGGAGUCUGCAACCCGACUCCGUGAAGCUGGAUUCGCUAGUAAUCGCGCAUCAGCCAUGGCGCGGUGAAUACGUUCCCGGGCCUUGUACACACCGCCCGUCAAGCCAUGGGAGCCGGGGGUACCUGAAGUCCGUAACCGAAAGGAUCGGCCUAGGGUAA
rnacentral:rRNA from 1 species